rnacentral:rRNA from 1 species
CAGUAGCCACGGUAACACGUAGGGUGCAAGCGUUGUCCGGAUUUAUUGGGCGUAAAGAGCUCGUAGGCGGUUUGUCGCGUCGAAUGUGAAAGCCCGGGGCUUAACCCCGGGUCUGCAUUCGAUACGGGCAGACUAGAGUUCGGUAGGGGAGACUGGAAUUCCUGGUGUAGCGGUGAAAUGCGCAGAUAUCAGGAGGAACACCGGUGGCGAAGGCGGGUCUCUGGGCCGAUACUGACGCUGAGGAGCGAAAGCGUGGGGAGCAAACAGGAUUAGAUACCCCCGUAGUCCCUGUCUCUUAUAC